rnacentral:rRNA from 1 species
GGAAUCUUGCACAAUGGGCGAAAGCCUGAUGCAGCCAUGCCGCGUGAGUGAAGAAGGCCCUAGGGUUGUAAAGCUCUUUCAGCAGGGAAGAUAAUGACUGUACCUGCAGAAGAAGCCCCGGCUAACUCCGUGCCAGCAGCCGCGGUAAUACGGAGGGGGCUAGCGUUGUUCGGAAUUACUGGGCGUAAAGCGCGCGUAGGCGGAUUAGUCAGUUGGGGGUGAAAGCCCGGAGCUCAACUCCGGAAUUGCCUUCAAUACUGCUAGUCUUGAGUUCGAGAGAGGGUGGUGGAAUUCCCAGUGUAGAGGUGAAAUUCGUAGAUAUUGGGAAGAACACCAGUGGCGAAGGCGGCCACCUGGCUCGAUACUGACGCUGAGGUGCGAAAGCGUGGGGAGCA